AAUAAAUUCAUUUUUCAGUUUUGGAUAUAAUGUUUGACUCUUCGUUUUAUUUGAAUUUUUUUGCGAUUAAUAUUUUUAUUGUUAUUAGCUGAUGAAUAGUAUUUUACGUGUGACUGUUUUUUAAAAGUUCUAGGAAUUUUUAAAUAAGACGGAUGGUCAAAUAUUGGUCACAGAAAUUAAA
rnacentral:pre_miRNA from 1 species